rnacentral:Y_RNA from 1 species
GGCUGGUCCGAAGGUAGUGAGUUAUCUCACUUGAUUGUUCGCAGUCAGUUACAGAUUGAACUCCUUGUUCUACUACUUUCCCCCCUCCUCACUACUGCACUUGACUAGUCUUAA